rnacentral:rRNA from 1 species
UGGGGGAUAUUGCACAAUGGGCGAAAGCCUGAUGCAGCGACGCCGCGUGGGGGAUGAAGGCUUUCGGGUUGUAAACCUCUUUCGCUAUCGAACAAGGCCCGCUUAGGGUGGGUUGAGGGUAGGUGGAGAAGAAGCGCCGGCUAACUACGUGCCAGCAGCCGCGGUAAUACGUAGGGCGCGAGCGUUGUCCGGAAUUAUUGGGUGUAAAGGGCUUGUAGGCGGUUUGUUGCGCCUGCUGUGAAAACGCGGGGCUUAACUUCGCGCGUGCAGUGGGUACUGGCAGGCUUGAGUGUGGUAGGGGUGACUGGAAUUCCAGGUGUAGCGGAGGAAUGCGCAGAUAUCUGGAGGAACGCCGAUGGCGAAGGCAGGUCACUGGGCCAUUACUGACACUGAAGAGCGAAAGCAUGGGUAGCGAACAGG